GAGUGAACGCUGGCGGUCGGCCUAACCCAUGCAAGUCGAACGGCAGCCCAGUAAGAGCUUGCUCUUACGGGUGGCGAGUGGCGGACGGGUGAGGAAUACAUCGGAAUCUACUUUUUCGUGGGGGAUAACGUAGGGAAACUUACGCUAAUACCGCAUACGACCUACGGGUGAAAGCAGGGGAUCUUCGGACCUUGCGCGAUUGAAUGAGCCGAUGUCGGAUUAGCUAGUUGGCGGGGUAAAGGCCCACCAAGGCGACGAUCCGUAGCUGGUCUGAGAGGAUGAUCAGCCACACUGGAACUGAGACACGGUCCAGACUCCUACGGGAGGCAGCAGUGGGGAAUAUUGGACAAUGGGCGCAAGCCUGAUCCAGCCAUACCGCGUGGGUGAAGAAGGCCUUCGGGUUGUAGAGCCCUUUUGUUGGGAAAGAAAAGCAGCAGGUUAAUACCCCGCUGUUCUGACGGUACCCAAAGAAUAAGCACCGGCUAACUUCGUG
rnacentral:rRNA from 1 species